rnacentral:rRNA from 1 species
UGAAUACGAGACGCUACGGCGUCGAAGCAGUCUAUGUCAUACUUCCAAGAAAAGCUCGCAAUGUCAUAAACAAAUAAUGCCUGUACCAUAACCGACACAGGUGGGUAGGUAGAGUAUACUAAGGGGCGCGAGAUAACUCUCUCUAAGGAACUCGGCAAAAUGACUCCGUAACUUCGGGAGAAGGAGUGCCUUAUUUAUAAGGUUGCAAUAACAAGAUCCAAGCAACUGUUUAUCAAAAACACAGGUCUCCGCUAAGUCGUAAGACGAUGUAUGGGGGCUGACGCCUGCCCAGUGCCAGAAGGUUAAAGAAGUUGGUUAGCAUUCGCGAAGCUGAUAACUGAAGCCCUGGUGAACGGCGGCCGUAACAAUAACGGUCCUAAGGUAGCGAAAUUCCUUGUCGGGUAAGUUCCGACCCGCACGAAAGGCGUAAUGAUUUGGAUACUGUCUCGGAGAGGGGCUCGGUGAAAUAGACUUGUCUGUGAAGAUGCGGACUACCUGCACCUGGACAGAAAGACCCUAUGAAGCUUUACUGUAACUUGAAAUUGAAAUUGGACUUUAUUUGCGCAGCAUAGGUGGGAGGCGUUGAGAGUAUUCUUGCGGGAAUAUUGGAGCCAUCAGUGAGGUACCACCCUUGUAAUGUUAGAUUUCUAACUUUGGAUCAUUAUCUGGUCAAAGAACAGUUUCAGGCGGGCAGUUUGACUGGGGCGGUCGCCUCCCAAAUGGUAACGGAGGCGUACAAAGGUUUCCUCUGAACGGGUAGAAAUCGUAUCUAGAGUGUAAAGGCAUAAGGAAGCUUGACUGUGAGACCUACAAGUCGAGCAGGGACGAAAGUCGGUCUUAGUGAUCUGACGGUGCUGAGUGGAAAGGCCGUCACUCAACGGAUAAAAGUUACUCUAAGGAUAACAGGCUGAUCUCCCCCAAGAGUUCACAUCGACGGGGAGGUUUGGCACCUCGAUGUCGGCUCAUCGCAUCCUGGGGCGGUGGUACGUCCCAAGGGUUGGGCUGUUCGCCCAUGAAAGCGGUACGCGAGCUGGGUUCAGAACGUCGUGAGACAGUUCGGUCCAUAUCCGGUGUAGGCGUUAGAAUAUUGAGAGGAGCCUUCUUUAGUACGAGAGGACCGAGAAGGACAUACCUCUGGUGUACCAGUUAUUGUGCCAACGGUAAACGCUGGGUAGCUAUGUAUGGAGAGGAUAACCGCUGAAAGCAUCUAAGUGGGAAGCCCACCUCAAGAUAAGUAUUCUCAUC